rnacentral:rRNA from 1 species
AGGGCACCACCAGGAGUGGAGCCUGCGGCUUAAUUUGACUCAACACGGGAAAACUCACCCGGCCCGGACACUGGAAGGAUUGACAGAUUGAGAGCUCUUUCUUGAUUCAGUGGGUGGUGGUGCAUGGCCGUUCUUAGUUGGUGGAGUGAUUUGUCUGGUUAAUUCCGAUAACGAACGAGACUCUAGCCUACUAAAUAGAUCGUCGGCUUACAAACGCCGGCGAGACUUCUUAGAGGGACAGGCGGUGAUUCAACCGCACGAAACAGAGCAAUAACAGGUCUGUGAUGCCCUUAGAUGUCCGGGGCCGCACGCGCGCUACACUGAAGUGAUCAGCGUGCUUUUUCAACCUACUCUGUCAAGAGUGGGGAACCCAAUGAACCUUCUUCGUGAUUGGGAUAGGGGAUUGUAAUUGUUCCCCUUGAACGAGGAAUUCCCAGUAAGCGCGAGUCAUAAGCUCGCGUUGAUUACGUCCCUGCCCUUCGUACACACCGCCCGUCGCUACUACCGAUUGAAUGUUUU